UACGUAGGGUGCGAGCGUUUGUCCGGAAUUAUUGGGCGUAAAGAGCUUGUAGGCGGUUUGUCGCGUCUGCUGUGAAAACGCGAGGCUCAACCUCGCGCCUGCAGUGGGUACGGGCAGACUAGAGUGCGGUAGGGGAGAUUGGAAUUCCUGGUGUAGCGGUGGAAUGCGCAGAUAUCAGGAGGAACACCGGUGGCGAAGGCGGGUCUCUGGGCCGAUACUGACGCUGAGGAGCGAAAGCGUGGGGGAGCGAACAGG
rnacentral:rRNA from 1 species